UACGUAGGGUGCAAGCGUUAUCCGGAAUUAUUGGGCGUAAAGAGCUCGUAGGCGGUUUGUCGCGUCUGCUGUGAAAACCCGAGGCUCAACCUCGGGCCUGCAGUGGGUACGGGCAGACUAGAGUGCGGUAGGGGAGAUUGGAAUUCCUGGUGUAGCGGUGGAAUGCGCAGAUAUCAGGAGGAACACCGAUGGCGAAGGCAGAUCUCUGGGCCGUAACUGACGCUCAUGCACGAAAGCGUGGGGAGCAAACAGG
rnacentral:rRNA from 1 species